rnacentral:rRNA from 1 species
AUUGAACGCUGGCGGCAGGCCUAACACAUGCAAGUCGAACGAGUGGCGGACGGGUGAGUAAUGUCUGGGCAACUGCCUGAUGGAGGGGGAUAACUACUGGAAACGGUAGCUAAUACCGCAUACCAUAAGAUGUGCCCAGAUGGGAUUAGCUUGUUGGUGGGUUAACGGCUAACCAAGGCGACGAUCCCUAGCUGGUCUGAGAGGAUGACCAGCAAAACGUGAACUGAGACACGGUCAUGACUCCUACGUGAGGCAGCAGUUGGGAUUAUUGCCCAAUGGGCGCAAGUCUGAUGGAGCCAUGCCGCGUGUAUGAAGAAGGCCUUCGGGUUGUAAAGGUCUUUCAGCUGGGAGGCGUUACCCGCAGAGGAAGCACCGGCUAACUACGUGCCAGCAGCCGCGGUAAUAC